CUGCAGCCCGAGUGGUGAUCGAUUUUAUUGAGCCUAAAGCGUCCGUAGCCGGUCUAGUAAACUCUUGGGUAAAUUGGGCAGCUUAACUGUCCAAAUUCCGAGGGGACUGCUAGUCUUGGGACCGGGAGAGGUCAGAGGUACUCAAGGGGUAGGGGCUAAAUCCUGUAAUCCUUUGGGGACCACCAGUGGCGAAGGCGUCUGACUAGAACGGAUCCGACGGUAAGGGACGAAACCCUGGGGCGCGAACCGGAUUAGAUACCCGCGUAGUCC
rnacentral:rRNA from 1 species